AACUAGAAAAUCUUCAUUGUAUUGUUAAAUAUAUAGAAAGUGGCUACCUUCCUUCUAAUCUGUAACAUUUCAAUAACUAGGAAAAUAAAAUCAUUACUUCAUAAUGGAUACAUUUUUUUAAUAAACGUUUUGACGUAGCAGAGUAUAAAUCAUGGAAACUAACAACUAUGAUGCCAGCCAUUCCCCUUGCUAGUGUAUUUAGGAAUGAAUACAUGACUCCUGUGCCCAAUGAGUCGUGGAUUUCUAAGCAAUCUUUCUCCACUCUUAAAAAUAACUUGAAAUUGCAACUCUUCUUGCUGGAAAUUGUCAAAUCUGUAUGGGAUGCCUGGAACUAUGGCAGCCAUCCCGUGACAAAGAGUGAACUUAGGAACAACAGGCUGAGUAACAUUUAGGCCCUUAAAUCCACUGAGAUCUAUUUCAAGCAUUAGGUAAAACCAUACAUCUCCUAAUUCUUUAAGUCUGUGCUUCUCAAAAUGCUAGGCUGAAACAAGAUCCAUAGUUAGAAUGUAAGUCGACACACACUUAUUUUCAUCAGUUUGUCUUAGAUACACUGUCCACACUGCUUAGUCCAUCUUGGAUGGACUGCAGUGUAGGUAGCGACAUAGUUCAGUUACAUUUUGGUGCAAACUCUUCUCAUUUAGUCUACAAAAUUGGAUUACUGCAAUACAUAUUUAGAGAAACUAACUCAGCAAGGUUUCUUUUUUUAAGAUUUUAUUUAUUCAUGAGACAGAGGCAGAGACACAGGCAGGGAAGCAGGCUCCAUGCAGGGAGCCCGACGUGGGACUCGAUCCUAGGUCCCCAGGAUCACGCCCUGGGCUGAAGGUGGUGUUAAACCCGAGCCACCUGGGCUGACCCUCAGCAAGUUAUUUGGGCGAAAUUUAUUACUAUCUAGAAAACAUUGAGAGAUACACCGUUUUGAUGUGUAGAUUAGGCCGGGGCUUUGCUCUUUUCAAAUAGUUUUAUCAUUCCUGGCUUCCAUUCAAUAAAUGUCCAUUGACCACUCACUAAAUUAUACAUGCAGGGCACAUAAAUAAGUAAUGGUCUCCCUGGUCUUGGAAAGAUCACAUGCGGGUAUGAGAUAGGGAAGGAAAUCAGUAAUUACAGUACAUGCUGAGGUCAUAAUAAAGCUGUUUAUAAGGUAUUGGGAGACCUUUGUGUAGUAUGUUUGGGCUAAAGGGGGGGAAUCAGCAGGAGAGAGCUUUACUGAAAAUGUGGCACCUGAACAAAGACGUGGAGGUGGUAAUAAAAAUGGAGCUGUAUGUUGAGGGGGAGGCUGAAACUGUAGGGAAAUGACUAAAUACAUGCUAAGAAGCUGGAAUUUUACUGAUGGUGACAGCUUACAGUACUCAUCCACACAUUUUUGCACAUGGUUAAGGUUGAAGUACCUGCUGGACAGCUGUUUAGAAGUGUAGCUGGAGUAACUGCAAACACCUGCCAGCAACUGCAGAACGGCUUUGAGAUCAACUUGAACAGUUCCAACCAUGUCCACUCUAUUUCCUCCACCUCACUUGUUUUUCAUUUAGUACUCUACAUCAGGAAUCUAAAGAAAUUUGCCUCGAUUAGACCUCCUUCUAAUCUUCACAACUAGAUACUCUUGAUAGAACAGGAACUCAAGCAGUCUCUUGACA
rnacentral:lncRNA from 1 species